rnacentral:rRNA from 1 species
AACGAACGUUAGCGGCGCGCUUAACACAUGCAAGUCGCACGAGAAAGCUUCCUUCGGGAAGUGAUUAAAGUGGCGCACGGGUGAGUAACACGUGGAUAUCUACCUUUUGGUGGGGGACAACAUCCCGAAAGGGGUGCUAAUACCGCAUAAGUCCACCUCGGUGGGGAAAGAUGGCCUCUUCUUGAAAGCUAUCGCCAGAUGAUGAGUCCGCGGCCCAUCAGCUUGUUGGUAGGGUAAAAGCCUACCAAGGCUACGACGGGUAGCUGGUCUGAGAGGAUGAUCAGUCACACUGGAACUGAGACACGGUCCAGACUCCUACGGGAGGCAGCAGUGGGGAAUAUUGGACAAUGGGGGCA